rnacentral:sRNA from 1 species
CCCUACAGCGCUGCGCGACUGCUUUGCAGAAGCCAGAUGAUUCUGCCUGUGCAGGAAUGAAGUGCGACCCGGCGCGCGAGGGAGGGAGGCCUCUGCGCUUUGGCUCCGGCCGCGCCUCCUCCCUGGGAUCCGGUCUAGGGCUGGCGAGCUCCGCGGGUCCCUGCUCAGAGCGGGGCUGCUGCACCACCUGCCGCGGGUGGCCAAAGCAGAAAAAAAAGGAAAAAAUGGGAGCGGGGAAUACAAAUGUCUUAUUUUCUUUUAAAGAAUAGUGAAACUAACAGAGGAGAAUCUGAAAAAAAGAGAAACCUGGGUGAACUUUCACGGACAACCUCAGAGGACAACGAAGUGUUCGGUAGGUGACGCAGACAUCGGCAACAUGGCGCCACAUGGUGACGGCGUGCACCUGCACUCUCACUCGGGGAAGCCUUUGAUUUUUUUAUUGCAUGGGUGAUCCAUGGAUCUGUACUCAUUACUAAAACAUAGAGGCUGGGAUCAUUGCUUCAUGUCUGUAAUCGCACACUUCACGGGGUCUAUGCAAGAGGAUCGCUUGAGCCCAGGAGCUCAAGACCAGCCCGGGCAACACAAUGAGACCUCGUCUCUACAAAAAAUAAAAUAAAUGAAUUAGCCAGGUGUGGUGGCAUGCACCCGUGGCCCCAGAUACUUGGGAGGCUGAAGUGAGAGGAUCACUUGGGCCCAGGAGGUCGAGGCUGCAGUGAGCUAUGAUUGCUCCACUGCACUCCAGGCUGGGCAACAGAGCAAGAUGCUGUCUAAAAAAAAUUAAAAUGUCGGCUGUGUAGAUACGUGGCAGAUACAGCCCCUUCCUCCCCUCCUGCAAUCCCUUCCCAUCUCAGUUUUGUUUUUGCUCGCAUGCC